rnacentral:lncRNA from 1 species
GGUUAUGUUGUGAAACUCAAUCCUACUCAAGUAUGGGUAAUCGAUCAAUCUGUUUUGGGCCUAGUUAGCCAUGUAGGUGAUUUGGGUUUCUACAAGUAAAUUUGUAUAGUCGACUUUAGAAAAGCAGAAUGGGUCUAUGCAGGUUGGCUUUCUUAGCCCAUUAUUUGUCCUCACAACUCAGCAUUAAGCCUGUUUCAGUCGGCACCAUCGCAACCCAUUGACUCCAUCUUCAUGAUCCAUGGACCAGGUGAGAUGGUUUCAGCUGCAAUCCCUGGUUAGCGUGUUCGUGUUUUCAUUUCAUUCCUUCUGUUUUUUCCCUCCUUGCUGUCUAUCAGAAAUUAUUCACUGUCCAUUUUCCAGAAGCAUUGCAACAUGUUAAUGUCUGACCAUCUUGGCAGUUGACACCAUGGGCUAUUUAUGUGCUUU